rnacentral:tRNA from 1 species
GUGCUCGUAGCUCAGCUGGAUAGAGUGCUUGGCUUCGGACCAAGAGGUCGCAGGUUCGAAUCCUGCCGGGCACA